AAUAGAUACCCGGGUAGUCCAUGCCGUAAACGUUGGGAACUAGGUGUGGGUCUCAUUCCACGAGAUCCGUGCCGCAGCUAACGCAUUAAGUUCCCCGCCUGGGGAGUACGGCCGCAAGGCUAAAACUCAAAGGAAUUGACGGGGGGCCCGCACAAGCGGCGGAGCAUGCGGAUUAAUUCGAUGCAACGCGAAGAACCUUACCAAGGCUUGACAUACACCGGAAACAUCCAGAGAUGGGUGCCCCGCAAGGUCGGUGUACAGGUGGUGCAUGGUUGUCGUCAGCUCGUGUCGUGAGAUGUUGGGUUAAGUCCCGCAACGAGCGCAACCCUCGUUCUAUGUUGCCAGCACGUGAUGGUGGGGACUCAUAGGAGACUGCCGGGGUCAACUCGGAGGAAGGUGGGGAUGACGUCAAAUCAUCAUGCCCCUUAUGUCUUGGGCUUCACGCAUGCUACAAUGGCCGGUACAAAGGGCGGCGAAACCGUGAGGUGGAGCGAAUCCCAAAAAACCGGUCUCAGUUCGGAUUGGGGUCUGCAACUCGACCCC
rnacentral:rRNA from 1 species